UACGAAGGGGGCUAGCGUUGCUCGGAAUCACUGGGCGUAAAGGGUGCGUAGGCGGGUCUUUAAGUCAGGGGUGAAAUCCUGGAGCUCAACUCCAGAACUGCCUUUGAUACUGAAGAUCUUGAGUUCGGGAGAGGUGAGUGGAACUGCGAGUGUAGAGGUGAAAUGCGUAGAGAUCCGGAGGAACACCAGUGGCGAAGGCGAUCUGCUAGGCCUGACCUGACACUCAGACGCGACAGCAUGGGGAGCGAACGGG
rnacentral:rRNA from 1 species